CAUGUUUCCUAGUAACGCAGGCGGGGCAACGGCACUUCCGGCCGUAGCCCCUGUGGCGCUGGCGGCGCCUACCGCCGGCUCCGGAGGGUUUGGUUUAGAGGAGAUUGGUAUUCCUGGACGGGAUUAUCUCAGGGAAGCGCUUACUUCAUGCCAAGAUCCUCUCAAGGCAAUUGAGGAUUUCCAGAUAGAGAACGGUGUUCUGCUUCCCUCACUCCGUCCUAUGCUUCCUCUUCUAGACCUACACGGCAUUAAAAGAUUAGAUUUCCACAACUCGGUGCUCGAAGACCUAAGGGAUAAAUUGAUUGCUCAGAUAAGUGAGCUUGGUGAUACAGAAGGAAAGGAGAAAGAUAAAAAACUCAGAGAUUUGCUUUCUAAAAGCUUUCCUGUUAUUCAGAUAAAGGAGGUGAGACCGGUAGUAAUGAGUAUUCUAAAGAACAUGUCCUAUAUUGAGGAUAGGUACCUGAGGUUUCUAGUGAGGGAUAAGGAACUGUAUGCGGACUGUGACAUUGAGAUAAAACGUCAUCUUUGGCGGGAUAAUCAGUCUUUGUUUGGUGACGAAGUGUCACCGUUGCUUUCACAAUACAUCAAGGAUAAGGAAAAUGUGCUAUUUACCCAUGAGACAGGAUCUGGUUUCUUCAGUGGUUCUCCUAAGAGCCGGCGACAGUCAGAAGUAAUCCAGAAAUUGGCUGAGAUGAUUGGAAACCAUGUGAAACUCUACGAUAUGACACUUCAGUUUUUGCGUACACUGUUCCUGAGAACUAAAAACGUACACUAUUGUACGCUUAGAUCGGAACUUCUGAUGGCUCUUCAUGACAGAGAAGUUCAGGAUGUUAUCUCUGUUGAUCCUUGUCACAAGUUUACCUGGUGUUUAGAUGCUUGUAUCAGGGAGAGAAAUGUUGAUGUGAAGAGGUCUAGAGAACUUCAGGGGUUCCUAGAUGCUAUCAGGAGGGGACAGGAACAGGUUUUGGGAGACCUGAGUAUGACAUUGUGUGAUCCUUUUGCGAUCAAUUUCCUCUCCCAGUCCGCCAUGAAGCUUGUUAACUUCCAGGUUGAGAAGGAGGCCCUUCCUAGAGAUCAACCCGUUCUUCAUCUUCUUCUCAGAAUGUUGGCACUGGGAUUAUCUGCCUGGGAUAUGAUUGAGACUCAGGAUUUCAGGGAACCAAAGAUAGAACUCCCGCUUCUUGUCCAGUUUCUCCCGGCCAUGAUGUCUCUAAUCGUCGACGAUCAGGUUCGAGCAUUGAACUACAAGUUUCCAGUGGAGGAGAGAGAUACUGCCAGUAUUAUUAUAGAUCAUUCAGGACCCCCGCCAGAUAUGUACGAUGUACAGGUGUCCCAGUGUCCUAUUGCUACAACUAUGGCAAUGCAGUACACUCUUCAGACAACAAGAAAUAAGGACAAGAUUGGAGUAAUGCGUGUUCUUGGUAUACUGGCACAAAACAUUAGAGGUCAUCCCUUUGAGGAUGCCUUCCUGCACAGUUUAGUAACUUCCUUGAUAGUUAUGAAGGAUGAGUUUGAAAAUGAGGAUUUCUGUACCUCAGUGUUUGAUGAAUUUUUCUUUACCUGUAUUAAUGUUGAUAAUGUUAACAGACAUCUGCUGAGAUUGUUAUGGUGGAUUCAUCCGAAACUUCCUGCAGCAAGAACUGAUACACUUUUAAAGGUGGCUGAACCUAUCUCUGGAGUUGAUACUGUUGUUAGUCUUUAUGAAACUCUACGGGACAAAAUGUUAUCUCGGCAUUCUCACUCCCCCCAACAAGACAGUUUGACACCGUUCUAGCUCUUCACAUGACAUCACCAGCAACAAAAGCCACAAAAGCGUUUUGGAAUUCCAUCAGCAAGGCAAUAGUAAAAAAUUGUUACUGUCUGUAUUCAUGUAGUAAAUGAUGUACUCUUAAAACGUUGUCCCUAACUGUAUCAUUCCAGCACACGUAAAACUUUCAAAUCUUACAAACUAUAUAUACAUAAAACAUGAUGAAAUAAAUCACAACAAUAUUUUAAUACACUCCCCCAGAAGAAGGUUUGAUUUAUUUCCUAAUGGUCCUGGAUGACAUCUAGAGGGUCUCCUAUUUUGAUGUUUUUUUAUGCAGUGUUGUUUUUCGUCCAUCUUCUUAUCCUGCUUCCGCAUUGUUUUCACUUCUCGUAUCUUAUCUUGUACUUCAUAUUGUCUGUGUUUUAACUUCUCUUUUUCUAGUCUCUGCAUUAGCAGUUCCUAAAAUCUUUCUUCUUCUUUACUUUCCAUUAUUUGUGUUGAAUGUCUCCCCCCUAUCUUACUUCCUAUCACUUAACAUGUAAAACUUUCCAGAGAUAUUAUAAAUAAACUGAAAAACAAUGA